CAGCAGCACAGAUUGCAGGCUGGUUAACGGCAGCUUGACAACAGCUUGACAACCAAAGAUGUCGUUGGGCUUUGGUGUGAGAGUGCUUGUUCUCUCCCUUUUGGCUUUUGGGCACGAUGCAAAUGCACUGCGUGACAAAAGUGAAGGCAUCAGUGGCAUUGGGCCUCUCUUUUCUUAUCCCAGAAGACGGAGCCCUGCUUUUGUGUCUCAAUAUGAGAGCUCUGCACAGCCUGGAGGAUUUCUGGGUACCCAGAGUGGAAAUGGGCCAGUAGAUGGUUACAGUCGAGAUGGAAGUGUUUCUAGUUACGUCCCUAGCUCACAGAUCCUUAGGAAAUCUCCAAAGAACUCUCAGCAGCCACCUCAAACUAACACUUAUGGUAAUGGUGUAUUGUGGACCAACAGUGGCAACUUGGAUUUGGUCCCUCAACAAAAAGGAUAUAGCAUUGAGUCUGGUAUUGCCUCAAGUAGUGCAAUUAUUAUGCAAUCUGAUCCUCAACCCAGUGCGUUCAAUCUGGGCUACCCACAAAAUUGGCUGAGGACCCAGGAGUCGCCCCCUUUCAAAAUUGGUUUCCCAACAAAAGCAGUUCAUGAGCAGAGCACCUCCGAUACUGUCUACCCCCAGGAGCUUCCCACAUCGACUAUGAUCUACCCACAGGAGCAGCCCACCUCAAAUCUUGUCUACCCUCAGAAGCCCCCCAGGCCCCAGGAGCUGCCCACUUCCAAUACUGGCUACCCUCAGGAGUUUCCCACAUCAAAUCUUGUCUACCCUCAGAAGCCACCCAGGCCCCGGGCACUGCCCGCCUCUAAUACUGGCUACCCUCAGAAGCCCCCCAUGCCCCAGGGGCUGCCCACUUCCAAUACUGGCUACCCUCAGGAGCUUCCCACAUCAAAUCUUGUCUACCCUCAGAAGCCACCCAGGCCCCGGGCACUGCCUGCCUCUAAUACUGGCUACCCUCAGAAGCCCCCCAUGCCCCAGGAGCUGCCCACUUCCAAUACUGGCUACCCUCAGAAGCCCCCCAUGCCCCAGGGGCUGCCCACUUCCAAUACUGGCUACCCUCAGAAGCCCCCCAUGCCCCAGGAGCUGCCAACUUCCAAUACUGGCUACCCUCAGGAGCUUCCCACAUCAAAUCUUGUCUACCCUCAGAAGCCCCCCAUGCCCCAGGAGCUGCCCACUUCCAAUACUGGCUACCCUCAGAAGCCCCCCAUGCCCCAGGAGCUGCCAACUUCCAAUACUGGCUGCCGUCGAAUGCCCCCCAGACCCCAGGGGCCACCCACCUUCAAUACUGGCUACCUUCAAACGGCGCCGAGGCCCCAGGAGCUGCCCACCUUCAAUACUGGCUACCUUCAAAAACCGCUGAUGCCCCAGCAGUUGACUACUCUCAGUUCUGUCUACCAACCACAUAAACUCAACCCCCAGAAAGGGGUGUUUCAAACUAAAGCUGGCAUGUGGGACUUGGUUUCAGGUUCUAUUUUGCCACCACCUAGGCCCCAAAAGCUUCCCACUUCCAAUACUGGCAACCUUCAAAAACCGCCGAGGCCCCAGCAGUCGAACAGUAUACCAGGUAGCGGCAUCCACUAGUGCCGUUGUAAAACAUUGACCUCGUCGUUCGCCGCAGUUCCUGACUUUCUGAAAGCAGUCUGUCCUGACAUCUGCCUUUUGUCAAAUUCAAUAAAGUACUUUGAACUGCACUGUCUACCAACAAUUGUCAUUUGAUGCAUGCAAAAAUAUGGAAACAUUUUGAAACUAAUAAAUAGAAUCUAAUGUACAGCUAUGAUUGUGUUCAAUGUA
ensembl:lncRNA